GACGAACGCUGGCGGCGUGCCUAAUACAUGCAAGUCGAGCGAACUUGCGGGAGCUUGCUCCCAAAAGUUAGCGGCGGACGGGUGAGUAACACGUGGGCAACCUGCCUAUAAGACUGGGAUAACUUCGGGAAACCGGAGCUAAUACCGGAUAAUUCUUUUCUACUCAUGUAGGAAAGCUGAAAGAUGGUUUCGGCUAUCACUUAUAGAUGGGCGCGCGGAGCAUUAGCUAGUUGGUGAGGUAACGGCUCACCAAGGCGACGAUGCGUAGCCGACCUGAGAGGGUGAUCGGCCACACUGGGACUGAGACACGGCCCAGACUCCUACGGGAGGCAGCAGUAGGGAAUCUUCCGCAAUGGACGAAAGUCUGACGGAGCAACGCCGCGUGAGUGAUGAAGGUUUUCGGAUCGUAAAACUCUGUUGUUAGGGAAGAACAAGUACUAGGGUAACUGCUAGUACCUUGACGGUACCUAACCAGAAAGCCACGGCUAACUACGUGCCAGCCGCCGCCGUAACAC
rnacentral:rRNA from 1 species